UUUGAUCGAUCCCAGCCAUAACGGGUUGCUGGGGGAGCGGUCUUGCCCGUAGGUGGCGAUCAAUGCUUGUGCUUC
rnacentral:antisense_RNA from 1 species